AGUUAGUGGCGGACGGGUGAGUAACGCGUGGAAAACCUGCCGUAUACUGGGGGAUAACACUUAGAAAUAGGUGCUAAUACCGCGUAAGCGCACAGCUUCGCAUGAAGCGGUGUGAAAAACUCUGGUGGUAUACGAUGGUUCCGCGUCUGAUUAGCUAGUUGGUGGGGUAAUGGCCUACCAAGGCAACGAUCAGUAGCCGGCCUGAGAGGGUGAACGGCCACAUUGGGACUGAGACACGGCCCAAACUCCUACGGGAGGCAGCAG
rnacentral:rRNA from 1 species